rnacentral:lncRNA from 1 species
CCACAUCAAUACAAAAUUAGAAAAAGAGAAGUCAGGUCAAUGUGGGACAUUUGCUAAUUAUCUGAUUAAAUAUGCCCCCAACCACAGAAAAUCCUUUAUCUGCAACAACAAAUGCAGAAAAAUGCAUAUAUAUAUAUACAUCAAAAAAUGAAGGAGGUAGGGAGAGCACAAGAAAAGUUGGAGAAUUAACAGAGAGAGAGAGUCAGUUAGAAAUCACCUCCGGAAGAGUCAAAAUUCCGCCCUCACCGAAAUCUGUCUUUGAAUCAAUCGAAACCCACUCAAAAACGUCUCUUGCUACAAAAAAUAAGAAGUAAAUCAAGCACUGAUCUUUGCACUUUUAUGUGAUUUGACAUCAGAAAAUCAACAUUUUAAAAAAAGGGACUAAAGACUGUUAUAAAUUAGACUAAAGACUU